rnacentral:rRNA from 1 species
UACGUAGGGUGCAAGCGUUAAUCGGAAUUACUGGGCGUAAAGCGUGCGCAGGCGGUUAUGUAAGACAGUUGUGAAAUCCCCCGGGCUCAACCUGGGAACUGCAUCUGUGACUGCAUAGCUAGAGUACGGUAGAGGGGGAUGGGAAUUCCGCGUGUAGCAGUGAAAUGCGUAGAGAUUAAGGGAAGAACACCAGUGGGCGAAAGGCGGCAUCCUGGACCAACACUGACAGCUGAGGAGCGAAAGCCAGGGGAGCAAACGGG